CGAGUCGGCCGGGCGGUCGCGUCAGCGUCUCUUCGGAGACACUGCCGAGGAACGUCCGGGCUCCACAGGGCAGGGUGGUUGUUAACGGCAACCCGGGGUGACCCGCGGGACAGUGCCACAGAAAACAAACCGCCGGUCGCUUCACGCGGUCGGUAAGGGUGAAACGGUGGUGUAAGAGACCACCAGCGCCCCGGGUGACCGGGGCGGCUCGGUAAACCCCACCCGGAGCAAGGUCAAGAGGAGCGACUCCGGUCGCUCUGCGUGAACGUUCGAGGGCGGCUCGCCCGAGUUCACGGGUAGACCGCUAGAGCCUGUCGGCAACGGCAGGCCGAGAUGGAUGACCGCCGGCCGGAGCAAUGCCGCAAGGCGCUCCGGCCACAGGACCCGGCGUACAGGCCGACUCGUCCG
rnacentral:RNase_P_RNA from 2 species